rnacentral:lncRNA from 1 species
AAUAUUAAUAGUAUUAUUAUUAUUUGGGUUCAGCAUGUUAUAUUAAAUCAAGUUAGGUAUUUAGGAUCCACUAACGUAGUUUGGAAUGAGGGCAUGUUUAAUUCAUCUAUUUUAGACUAUGAAAUUAAAUAAGAUUCACUGAUUUUGAUAGUUGUUGUUUGUUUUAUUAGAAAUUGAAUUUUGAUUCCUCUUCCACUAUGGAAUGAGAAUAACCAAAUUUAUUUAUGAUCCAAUUCGACUUUAAAUUUUCCAUUGGCUCAUUCUAAAAUAAACUAAUCAAAAUCCUCUCUCACAAACACCUUCUCCCCCUUUUCCUUCAUCACUCUCAUCUUUUUUAAUCAAAACCCUUUAUCAAAAUUCUAAAUUUUAAUUUUGAUUUCUAUUUCAAUAAUGAAUUAAACAUUUUUAGCUGAUUGGUAAUUUUAUUUUUCAUUCCAAAAUAAUCAACUUUUAUUUAUCAUUUCUAUUCCAAUCAUAAACCAAGCAUUCCCUAAAGU